rnacentral:rRNA from 1 species
AUGAACGCUAGCUACAGGCUUAACACAUGCAAGUCGAGGGGCAGCAUGGUCUUAGCUUGCUAAGGCCGAUGGCGACCGGCGCACGGGUGAGUAACACGUAUCCAACCUGCCGUCUACUCUUGGACAGCCUUCUGAAAGGAAGAUUAAUACAAGAUGGCAUCAUGAGUCCGCAUGUUCACAUGAUUAAAGGUAUUCCGGUAGACGAUGGGGAUGCGUUCCAUUAGAUAGUAGGCGGGGUAACGGCCCACCUAGUCUUCGAUGGAUAGGGGUUCUGAGAGGAAGGUCCCCCACAUUGGAACUGAGACACGGUCCAAACUCCUACGGGAGGCAGCAGUGAGGAAUAUUGGUCAAUGGGCGAGAGCCUGAACCAGCCAAGUAGCGUGAAGGAUGACUGCCCUAUGGGUUGUAAACUUCUUUUAUAAAGGAAUAAAGUCGGGUAUGGAUACCCGUUUGCAUGUACUUUAUGAAUAAGGAUCGGCUAACUCCGUGCCAGCAGCCGCGGUAAUACGGAGGAUCCGAGCGUUAUCCGGAUUUAUUGGGUUUAAAGGGAGCGUAGAUGGAUGUUUAAGUCAGUUGUGAAAGUUUGCGGCUCAACCGUAAAAUUGCAGUUGAUACUGGAUAUCUUGAGUGCAGUUGAGGCAGGCGGAAUUCGUGGUGUAGCGGUGAAAUGCUUAGAUAUCACGAAGAACUCCGAUUGCGAAGGCAGCCUGCUAAGCUGCAACUGACAUUGAGGCUCGAAAGUGUGGGUAUCAAACAGGAUUAGAUACCCUGGUAGUCCACACGGUAAACGAUGAAUACUCGCUGUUUGCGAUAUACUGCAAGCGGCCAAGCGAAAGCGUUAAGUAUUCCACCUGGGGAGUACGCCGGCAACGGUGAAACUCAAAGGAAUUGACGGGGGCCCGCACAAGCGGAGGAACAUGUGGUUUAAUUCGAUGAUACGCGAGGAACCUUACCCGGGCUUAAAUUGCAGAUGAAUUACGGUGAAAGCCGUAAGCCGCAAGGCAUCUGUGAAGGUGCUGCAUGGUUGUCGUCAGCUCGUGCCGUGAGGUGUCGGCUUAAGUGCCAUAACGAGCGCAACCCUUGUUGUCAGUUACUAACAGGUUCCGCUGAGGACUCUGACAAGACUGCCAUCGUAAGAUGUGAGGAAGGUGGGGAUGACGUCAAAUCAGCACGGCCCUUACGUCCGGGGCUACACACGUGUUACAAUGGGGGGUACAGAAGGCCGCUACCUGGUGACAGGAUGCUAAUCCCAAAAGCCUCUCUCAGUUCGGAUCGAAGUCUGCAACCCGACUUCGUGAAGCUGGAUUCGCUAGUAAUCGCGCAUCAGCCAUGGCGCGGUGAAUACGUUCCCGGGCCUUGUACACACCGCCCGUCAAGCCAUGGGAGCCGGGGGUACCUGAAGUGCGUAACCGCGAGGAGCGCCCUAGGGUAAAACUGGUGACUGGGGCU